rnacentral:rRNA from 1 species
GGAUCGACUCCGGUUGAUCCUGCCGGACCCGACUGCUAUCAGAGUGAGAUUAAGCCAUGCGAGUCAACGUAGCAAUACGUGGCACACGGCUCAGUAACACGUAGUCAACAUAACCAAAGGACGUGGAUAAUCUCGGGAAACUGAGGCUAAACCGCGAUAGACCAAGAUACCUGGAAUGGUUUUUGAUCAAAAUCUAUAUGGCCUUUGGAUUGGACUGCGUCCGAUCAGGCUGUUGGUGAGGUAAUGGCCCACCAAACCUAUAACCGGUACGGGCUCUGAGAGGAGGAGCCCGGAGAUGGGUACUGAGAAAAGGACCCAGGCCCUAUGGGGCGCAGCAGGCGCGAAACCUCUGCAAUAGGCGAAAGCCUGACAGGGUUACUCUGAGUGACUUUCGCUAAGAAAGUCUUUUGACAUCUCUAAAAAUGGUGUAGAAUAAGGGGUGGGCAAGUCUGGUGUCAGCCGCCGCGGUAAUACCAGCACCCCGAGUGGUCGGGACGAUUAUUGGGCCUAAAGCAUCCGUAGCCGGUUUUACAAG